UGAGAUCGGCGCACGUGCUUCAAUACCUGUUAGAACAAAAGGAUAUAAUGUUAUCAAUGUCCAGUGGCAUGUUUAAGCCAUUGAAACUUUAAAAAUUUGCAUUUCUCCUACACUUUGUGGACUCUGGGGGAGAGUUUUAU
rnacentral:sRNA from 22 species